UACGUAGGAUGCAAGCGUUGUCCGGAUUUACUGGGCGUAAAGCGCGCGCAGGCGGCACACCAAGUACCCUAUGAAAUCUCCUUGCUCAACGGGGAGGGUGUGGGGUAGACUGGUGAGCUAGAGGACGGUAGAGGGGGGUAGAAUUGCUGGUGUAGCGGUGAAAUGCGUAGAGAUCAGCAGGAAUACCCGUGGCGAAGGCGGCCCCCUGGGCCGUACCUGACGCUGAGACGCGAAAGCGUGGGGAGCGAACAGG
rnacentral:rRNA from 1 species